rnacentral:rRNA from 1 species
UGCGUAGGUGGCAAGCGUUGUCCGGAUUUACUGGGCGUAAAGAGCGCGCAGGCGGUUCGAUCAGUCGAAUGUGAAAGCCCCCGGCUCAACUGGGGAGGGCCAUUCGAUACUGUCGGACUCGAAGGCAGGAGAGGGAAGCGGAAUUCCCGGUGUAGUGGUGAAAUGCGUAGAUAUCGGGAGGAACACCAGUGGCGAAGGCGGCUUCCUGGCCUGUUCUUGACGCUGAGGCGCGAAAGCUAGGGGAGCAAACGGG